rnacentral:lncRNA from 1 species
UGGCAUCUAUGAUUUGCUCGCAGAUUGAGACGUUUUUUCAAGUUCGGUGGUACCAUUAGCCUCUGGUUCAGCGUCCGAUUAGGUUUCUGCUGCAGAUUCAGUGGUACCAUUAGCCUCUGGUUCAGCAUCCGGUUUGGUUUCUGCUGCAGGUUCAGUGGUACCAUUAGUCUCCGGUUUAGCAUCCGGUUUGGUUUCUGCUGCAGGUUCAGUGGUACCAUUAGUCUCCGGUUUAGCAUCCGGUUUGGUUUCUGCUGCAGGUUCAGUGGUACCAUUAGUCUCCGGUUUAGCAUCCGGUUUGGUUUCUGCUGCAGGUUCAGUGGUACCAUAGGUCUCCGGUUCAGCAUCCGGUUUGGUUUCUGCUGCAGGUUUGGUGGUACUAUUGGUCUCCGGUUCAGCAACCGAUUUGGCUUCGGUUGCAGGUUCAGUCUCCGCUUCUGGCGCAGGUUCAGACGUUUUUGCAGGUCCUGCUGUGCCGCUAGCCUCCGGUUGGACAUCCAGUUUCGUUUCUGGUGCAGGUUCGACCGCCGGGUCUGGUGUAGGGUCGGGUACUGCUGCUGCUGCUGCUGGUUCGGCUGCAGGCUCUGUUGUAGACUUCGGAGCUGGUUCAGGAGUUGGUUCAGCAGCAGGCUCAGGGGCAGGGGCGGAUUCCGGUGCAGCUUCAGGUUGUGCCUCGGAUGCUGCUUCAUGUUCAGCAUCAUGCAUGUCCCUUGGUGUUGAUUCUGGGUCGAAGGAACUAGGAUCUUCAGGCACGUUUUCGCCAACAAUGUAGAUGACUUUCUUGGGCGAAGUUUUCCUCAAGACUGAUAGGACAACGGAGGCCGAUAUGAAGCCCGUUACGAUCACCUUGUUUUCCAUGAAUUCCUCAGUAACUGACUCUACCCC